UGGGGAAUAUUGCACAAUGGGCGAAAGCCUGAUGCAGCAACGCCGCGUGAGGGAUGACGGCCUUCGGGUUGUAAACCUCUUUCAGCGCUGACGAAGCCUUCGGGUGACGGUAAGCGCAGAAGAAGGACCGGCCAACUACGUGCCAGCAGCCGCGGUAAUACGUAGGGUCCGAGCGUUGUCCGGAAUUAUUGGGCGUAAAGGGCUCGUAGGCGGCCUGUCGCGUCUACUGUGAAAUCCCGAGGCUUAACCUCGGGUCUGCAGCGGAUACGGGCAGGCUAGAGUUCGGUAGGGGAGACUGGAAUUCCUGGUGUAGCGGUGAAAUGCGCAGAUAUCAGGAGGAACACCGGUGGCGAAGGCGGGUCUCUGGGCCGAUACUGACGCUGAGGAGCGAAAGCAUGGGGAGCGAACAGGAUUAGAUACCCCCGUAGUCC
rnacentral:rRNA from 1 species